ACGUAGGGUGCUAGCGUUGUUCGGAAUUACUGGGCGUAAAGCGCACGUAGGCGGUCUUUUAAGUCAGAGGUGAAAGCCCGGGGCUCAACUCCGGAAUUGCCUUUGAAACUGGGAGACUUGAACACGGGAGAGGUGAGUGGAAUUCCGAGUGUAGAGGUGAAAUUCGUAGAUAUUCGGAGGAACACCAGUGGCGAAGGCGGCUCACUGGACCGUUGUUGACGCUGAGGUGCGAAAGCGUGGGGAGCAAACAGGA
rnacentral:rRNA from 1 species